UACGUAGGGCGCAAGCGUUGUCCGGAAUUAUUGGGCGUAAAGAGCUCGUAGGCGGCUUGUCACGUCGGGUGUGAAAGCCCGGGGCUUAACCCCGGGUCUGCAUUCGAUACGGGCUAGCUAGAGUGUGGUAGGGGAGAUCGGGAAUUCCUGGUGUAGCGGUGAAAUGCGCAGAUAUCAGGAGGAACACCAGUGGCGAAAGGCGCCGCUCGUGGGCCGUGACUGACGCUGAGGAGCGAAAGCGUGGGUAGCAAACAGG
rnacentral:rRNA from 1 species